AGAUCUGGGACCAGUUGCUGAUUUCCAGGCUGGGGCUCUCUCACUAGAUGGAGUGUCUGUCGCUGAGGCUGGAGUGCAGCGAUGUGAUCUUAGCUCACUGCAACAUCUGCCUCCCUGGUUCAAGUGAUUUUCCUGAUUCAGCCUCCUGAGUAGCUGGGAUUACAGGUGCACACCACCACGCCUGCCUAAUUUUUGUAUUUUUAGUAGAGACAGGGUUUCUACUUGAACUCCUGACCUCCUGAUCCGCCUGCCUCGGCCUCCCAAAGUGCUGGGAUUACAGGCAUGAGCCACAGCACCUGGCCUUAGAUAGGAUUUUUAACACACACCACCGGCUCCUACUCACUUCAGUGCCUUCAGGUGAGUGGUUCUCCUCUGCUGAAAUACCUUCAUCCUUCCUCUUCGUGAACCCAAAUCCACCUCAGUCUGCAGACACCUUCCAAGUCACUUUCCUACCUGACCC
rnacentral:lncRNA from 1 species